UACAGAGGGUGCGAGCGUUAAUCGGAAUUACUGGGCGUAAAGCGCACGUAGGCGGCUUUGUAAGUUAGAGGUGAAAGCCCGGGGCUCAACCCCGGAAUUGCCUUUAAGACUGCAUCGCUAGAAUUGUGGAGAGGUAAGUGGAAUUCCGAGUGUAGAGGUGAAAUUCGUAGAUAUUCGGAAGAACACCAGUGGCGAAGGCGACUUACUGGACACAUAUUGACGCUGAGGUGCGAAAGCGUGGGGAGCAAACAGG
rnacentral:rRNA from 1 species